AACGAACGCUGGCGGCAUGCCUAACACAUGCAAGUCGAACGAGACCUUCGGGUUUAGUGGCGCAUGGGUGCGUAACGCGUGGGAACAUGCCUUUAGAUUCGGAAUUACUCAGAGAAAUUUGUGCUAAUACCGGAUGAUGUUUUCGGACAAAAGAUUUAGCGCCUUUAGAUGGGCGCGCGAUGGUUUUGCUAGUUGGUGGGGUAAAGGCCUACCAAGGCGACGAUCCAUAGCUGGUCUGAGCGGACGAUCAGCGACACUGGGACUGGGACACGGUCCAGACGCCUGCGGGAGGGAGCAGUGGGGAAUAAUGGACAAUGGGCGAAAGCCUGAACCAGCAAGGCCGCGUGAGUGAUGAAGGGUUGAGGGUUGUAAAGCUCUUUUACCCGAGAUGAUAAGAACGGUAUCGGGAGAAUAAGCCCGGGCUAACUCCUU
rnacentral:rRNA from 1 species